rnacentral:rRNA from 1 species
GAUGAACGCUGGCGGCGUGCCUAAUACAUGCAAGUCGAGCGAAUGGAUUGAGGGCUUGCUCUUAUGAAGUUAGCGGCGGACGGGUGAGUAACACGUGGGUAACCUGCCCAUAAGACUGGGAUAACUCCGGGAAACCGGGGCUAAUACCGGAUAACAUUUUGAACCGCAUGGUUCGAAAUUGAAAGGCGGCUUCGGCUGUCACUUAUGGAUGGAUCCGUGUCGCAUUAGCUAGUUGGUGAGGUAACGGCUCACCAAGGCAACGAUGCGUAGCCGACCUGGGAGGGUGAUCGGCCACACUGGGACUGAGACACGGCCCAGACUCCUACGGGAGGCAGCAGUAGGGAAUCUUCCGCAAUGGACGAAAGUCUGACGGAGCAACGCCGCGUGAGUGAUGAAGGCUUUCGGGUCGUAAAACUCUGUUGUUAGGGAAGAACAAGUGCUAGUUGAAUAAGCUGGCACCUUGACGGUACCUAACCAGAAAGCCACGGCUAACUACGUGCCAGCAGCCGCGGUAA